rnacentral:rRNA from 1 species
CAGUCGCCACGGUAACACAGAGGGUGCGAGCGUUAAUCGGAUUUACUGGGCGUAAAGCGUGCGUAGGCGGCUUCUUAAGUCGGAUGUGAAAUCCCUGAGCUUAACUUAGGAAUUGCAUUCGAUACUGGGAAGCUAGAGUAUGGGAGAGGAUGGUAGAAUUCCAGGUGUAGCGGUGAAAUGCGUAGAGAUCUGGAGGAAUACCGAUGGCGAAGGCAGCCAUCUGGCCUAAUACUGACGCUGAGGUACGAAAGCAUGGGGAGCAAACAGGAUUAGAUACCCCCGUAGUCCCUGUCUCUUAUAA